rnacentral:misc_RNA from 1 species
UUUCCGUAGGUGAACCUGCGGAAGGAUCAUUACAGAGUUCAUGCCCUCACGGGUAGAUCUCCCACCCUUGAAUAUUUAUACCUUAGUUGCUUUGGCAGGCCGUGGAAACACCAUGGGCUCCGGCUUAUGCGUGCCUGCCAGAGGAAACAAACUCUGUUUUUAGUGAUGACUGAGUACUAUAUAAUAGUUAAAACUUUCAACAACGGAUCUCUUGGUUCUG